ensembl:lncRNA
GGAACAUGGCGGCGCGUCGGGGGCCAGGGCUCUCAGGGCUCGCCAUUGCAGCUGGGAAUGCUCGUUUCGUGGGCUCCUGGGUCCCCGUCGAUUGGCAUCCAGCGAGCAGAGCGCAGGGCUGUGGGCCACAGGCAUUCUGAAUUGGGAUCUCUCUUGGGGGCACACGCAUCACUCAGCUGAGAUGGAUUCCAGCAAUGUGGAUCCUGGGAGGUUGGUAGGACCUCUGAACUGGAGCCUCCCAUCUCCUGACCUCUCCAGAAUUCUGGUCAUCCAGAGGACCCAAGACAUGGUGGUUACUAAUAGACUUCCCACACUACUUCUUCAUUCCACGUGGACUCCUUCACGGGCAGUGAGCAUCCCAGCUUCCCUUGAACUUCAUCUGGAUUUAAUGACAACAGGCUCAACUUUUCAUUCACUUGUAUGACUAUGAGCAGUUUGACCAAGUUGAAGAAGAUGACUCGUUUGUAGUCUUCCUCAUCAGCUCAUUCCAUCUACUGGCUUUAAAAUCAUUUAGUACAGAGCUCACCGUCUAGGUGUUCAUCCAGUGUUUUGUUUGCUUAUCAUGCAGGAUCAUUUUAAAAGGAAAAGUAUGUGUGUAUGAGUUAGAGCUCUGAUCCCAGGAGUCCAUGUAGAAGCUUCCCCUGAGAAAUGGAUCGUUUUUGCACCAAUGCUACUUAUUUGAAAUGACCAGUACUCAUGACAUUCCAUUCAACUGAGGACUAAAUAUAGCCAACGUAGGCUGUGUUUGCCAAAUAGACUUUGAAGUAUUCUUCACACAGUCCUUCAUCGAUGCCAGUUUUCAGAUCGAAGAAACCUUUGCUCCAUGAAGUUUGUGAACACAUAUACUCAUGUUUUGUUUGAGAUUUUAAAGUCAUUCUUCAGUUUUGUUGGAGGAAUGGUUCUGUAUAUGCCCCGUGGAUCCCCAAAUCCACUGAUGUUCAUGUGUCUUGGGGCUUCCCAGGUGGUUCUAGUGGUAAAGAACAUGCAGAACAUACCCAUGCAGGAGACAUGGGAGGUAUGGAUUCCAUCCCUGGGGCAGGAAGAUCUCCUGAGGGAGAGCAUGGCAACCCCCUCCAGUAUCUUUGCCUAGAGAAUCUCAUGGAGAGAGGAGCCUGGUGGGGCCUAGUCCAUAUGAUCCCAAGGAGUUGGACACAAUGUAAGUGACUUCGCACAGCACAUGAUUCGUUGUCAUAGCUAAUAUAAUGGAGAUGACAUAAAAAGAAGCACCAGCGGGCGAAAGUCAGUAUCCAUCACUUUUAAACUUUGGAAUGUAUUGUGAUAUUUUACAUCCAUAUUUGUAUGACUUGAUAGUUGGAGAAUCGAUGCAUGUGAAGGCCUGGUUGUGUUAUAUGUAUGUUGAGGGAAGAUAUAUUUUUAUGUGGUUUGACAUAUAGGUCCCAUUUCAUUCGUAGACAUAUGCAUACUCAUCACUUAUCAUCAUUUUUUUUUUUUAAAGACCAUUGUUUGGAAAGGUUGUUGUCUAACCAUGAAAGAUGCUUGAAUUCUUGGGCUCCUUAGAGGAAGAAUUCAACCCGGGGCCAGUGAUGAGGCUUGAUCAGUCAGAGCUUUUGUGUCCCAUUGUUUUAUUAAAGUAUAAAAGAGAGAAAGCUUCUGACAUAGACAUCAGAAGGGGGCAGAAAGAGUGCCCCCCUACUCAUCUUUGGCUGGAUGUUAUCUAGCUACUAGCAGUCUACUCAUUAGAGAAAGGAAUGGCAGCAGACCCUCACCCACAAGAUAUAUGGAGAUGACCGUGGCACCAGGUGAGUCAUCCUGGGCCAUAAAACGAUUGAUAUGAGCAAAUGGAUAGCUUCAUUCACAUAGAUCAGGAGAGCCAUGUAUGAGUAAAGCAUAUUGGUUUGUCAAGUCAGUUCUGAGCCUUUAGGCAGAACCUACUUGAAGAUAGAGUCUAGGGUAAAUACAUAGUACAUUCACAUAGCUUAAGGCAAACCUUUCCAUGAGAAAAAUGCCUUGGUCAGCUCAAAGUAUGAGAAAAGUGAAGUUCAGGCAGAACCAGGUGUCAUUAUAGCAACACAGAUUUGUAAGAGAAAAAUCUCUUUUUAAAUUUGUAUCAAGAAGGGGAAAAAAGAUAACAGCUUGUUUCCUCCUGCCUCGGAAGUGACAGAUAACAACUGUCUGACACUUGCACCCCAUUUCCUCCCUUUGGAGACCCCUGGCCUUCCUGGCUGUUACCCUCUCAGUUUCAUUCAUUGAGCGUUUUCUGCCUUGUGAAACAUUGGGCAUAGAAGUAUGUGUUUAUUUAGGGGUAUUUCAUCCAAUUUCAUUUAAAUGCAUAUGUGAAUUAGAAAGUUUGACAUGCUGUUGCUUUGUAUACCGAUUGGGAAAUGUGAGCCUCCAAGCUUAAUUUAGUUUUUCAUGUUCAUUUUUCUUUUAGGGGUACAAAGAAAAAUAAUAUGACUGUUAAGAUCAGCUUUCGUAUUUUUUGCCAAAUAUGAAUUGGGAUCACAUCGAUCAGAGAUGAGUCUGUGCAUGAAAGCCCUAAUAACUAAUGCUAAUUGACUUCACUACCAUGGGAUGUUUUCAUAUCUAUUGAGGAUUUACUUCAUGUAUUUCGAUUUUAACUUUCUGUCUUACAGCCUUGUUUGUAGAUCAAAGCUAUUUGAAAUUGUCAUCUGGUUUCAAAUGGCUUGUGAGGUUAUUCAUGAGUGGCUUAUAAAACCGAAUGGAUUGUACGUAGCCAUACUUUGUUGUCAUUCUAUGAAUUUGAAGAAUGUCUGAAGAAUGUCUGCAGUUAUGCCUUAAAGAUUCAUACAAUUGAUGUCCAAUAUUUAUCUCAAUAGACUUGCUUUCAAUUUGUAGUUUCCUAUGCGUAUGUCUUUCUUUAUGGAUUUGGGUAGAACUUGUAUUGGAACACUGAAAAAUCUGUGAUAUCAACCGUGCUGACCUUUCUGGUGGUCAUCAUUAAGAUUUUCACGCUCUAUGGAUCCUAGUGGAAACAGGUGCUGUUCAUCCUACUUUUGUGAAGAUUGAAC